UAAAUUUGAGAUUCAAAUAAUUGUUGUAAUUCUUUCUGAUGAGUUGAGGGUAUAAGAUUAAAUUUAGACUUAUGUUCCAAAAUUGGAAUGACAAAUGCCAAUAUUUCCCUUUCAGGCCAACCGAAUAGCAAGAAAAUAGAAACAAAACGGCAGCCAUUUUCCAGAUGCUUAAAGAGCAAAAGGAUCAAAGAGCUCCCUAUCAUAUAGAGUGAGACUGUUUAAACUUCACGAAUCUGCCGGAACCAAUCCAAUCGAGCACAACACAAGAAAAUUGCAUAUUGUGAAAUGCUGCAGUUCCACAUUCAGAUAUAACUUCACACAUAAGUAACAGGUAAUCCCCGAAUUGCAGCAAAAGAACUGAAUUUCAUUUUAUCAUUGUGCACAUGCCGUGAAUUUCUCUUAUACAGCCUCCAUCAAACAUGAUGCUUCUUUGGAAGAAUGUGGCCAGAAUGGUGAGAGUGCAACGACCUUCCCGAUUACAAUCAGUGUAGGCGAAACUAACUCAGCUGAUGCAAUUUCAUUAGCAAGAUCCUUUAGUUCUGCAAAAACCACACGCUGCUUAGGUGUGGUCCCUCGCUCCACUGCAGCAGCUGGUGUAUUUAAUGGGAGACCAUGAUGCAUCAACUUGGAUGCAAGAGAAGGGAGGGUUGCCAAGCCCAUAUAAACUACCAAGGUUGAAUCAGGGUCAGCUGCAUUUUCUGCUACAAAAAGCGGAUCCGUUCCUCCUUUCCUCGAAUGUCCUGUUAGAAAUCUAACACUAUUCGCAACACCUCGGUGUGUUAAUGGAAUGCCUAACUCUGCUGCAAUCCCUGAAGCAGCAGUGAUACCUGGAAUAACUUUCACUUGAAUUCCUUGCUGUUGGAGAAAAUCCAUCUCCUCUCCACCCCUUCCAAAUACCAGCGGAUCCCCUCCUUUAAGUCUCACAACAGUAGCUCCUGCUUCAGCAAAACUCAAAAGCAGCUCAUGUAUCUCCUCCUGGGUUCUGCUAUGGUAGCCAGCAGUCUUGCCUACAUAAAGCAACCUAGCAUCAGGACCAACCAAAUCCAGAACAUCAUUGGACACCAACCUAUCAUACAACAAAAGAUCAGCUUUUUGUAUUACUCUCACUGCCUUCAAUGUCAACAAUUCCGGAUCCCCUGGGCCUGUACCUACCAAAUACACAUGCCCUGGCCCACACUUCUCUCCAUCUUUACCAAAAGUCUCUCUCUUCUCUUUAAGCACUUGAAGUAGCUUCCUCAGCUCUGGUAGCUGCAAAGCUAUGUCGUUUUGCCUUAUAGACUCUUUGUCAGAUGGGAGAGGGCAUGAAGAAGAAGAAGAAGAAGAUUGGUAAUGGUAAAGAUCUAGCUGAUCCUUAUAAAGCCAGUGGUCUCUUUGGUAUCUCUCAAUUGAAUGUUUCUCAGUGAAAGGUGAGCUUUUGAAAUGUAAAGAGCAUAUGGUUUUUGGGAUUAAGAAGAAAUGCUUGAAAUUUUGUCCAGAUAAAGAAGAAGAAGAAGAAAGCGAUGGCAGCUUAUACACAAGAGCCAUGGUUCAAUAAGAUUGCGAAUUCUGAGUUAAACUACGAGGGAAUAUAUAUACAAAAGGAGAGAAAAAGUUUAGUCCUUUGAGAGUUAAUAGAGACCAUUUUUGCGUUUGU
rnacentral:misc_RNA from 1 species